rnacentral:rRNA from 1 species
UCAUCAGUGAGAUACCACUCUUGGUAAGCUAGAGCGCUCAUUUUUAACCGUUAUCCGGUAAAAAGACAGUUUCAGGCGGGCAGUUUGACUGGGGCAGUCACCUCCCAAAAGGUAAUGGAGGUGUACAAAGGUUCUCUCAGACUGGACGGAAAUCAGCCAUAGAGUGUAAAAGCAUAAGAGAGCUUGACUGCGAGACGGACAUGUCAAGCAGAGACGAAAGUCGGUUUUAGUGAUCCGACGGUGCUGAGUGGAAAGGCCGUCGCUCAACGGAUAAAAGUUACUCUAGGGAUAAC